AACUGAUACUACCUGCGGGAACCUGCGGAAGGAUCAUUACAGAGUUUACAACUCCCAAACCCUUAUGUGAACAUACCAAUCGUUGCUUCGGCGAACCGCCCCGGCGUCCGGUCAGCCUCGUGCUGGCCGCGGCCCGGACUCAGGUGGCCGCCGGAGACCCCCAAAACUCUUUUGUAUUUACAGUAUCUUCUGAAUCCGCCGCAAGGCAAAACAAAUGAAUCAAAACUUUCAACAAUGGAU
rnacentral:misc_RNA from 1 species